rnacentral:rRNA from 1 species
AGUGAACGCUGGCGGUAGGCCUAACACAUGCAAGUCGAACGGCAGCACAGUAAGAGCUUGCUCUUACGGGUGGCGAGUGGCGGACGGGUGAGGAAUACAUCGGAAUCUACUUUUUCGUGGGGGAUAACGUAGGGAAACUUACUCUAAUACCGCAUACGACCUACGGGUGAAAGCAGGGGAUCUUCGGACCUUGCGCGAUUGAAUGAGCCGAUGUCGGAUUAGCUAGUUGGCGGGGUAAAGGCCCACCCAGGCGCCGAUCCGUAGCUGGUCUGAGAGGAUGGUCAGCCACACGGGAACUGGGACACGGACCAGACUCCUACGAGAGGGAGCAGUGGGGAAUAUUGGACAGUAGUCGCAAGCCUGGUCCAGCCAUACCGCGUGGGUGAAGAAGGCCUUCGGGUUGUAAAGCCCUUUUGUGGGGAAAGAAAAGCAGCAGGUUAAUACCCCGCUGUUCUGACGGUACCCAAAGAAUAAGCACCGGCUAACUUCGUG